rnacentral:rRNA from 1 species
CAGUCGCCGCGGGAAUACGUAGGUGGCAAGCGUUGUCCGGAAUUAUUGGGCGUAAAGCGCGCGCAGGUGGUUUAAUAAGUCUGAUGUGAAAGCCCACGGCUCAACCGUGGAGGGUCAUUGGAAACUGUUAAACUUGAGUGCAGGAGAGAAAAGUGGAAUUCCUAGUGUAGUGGUGAAAUGCGUAGAGAUUAGGAGGAACACCAGUGGCGAAGGCGGCUUUUUGGCCUGUAACUGACACUGAGGCGCGAAAGCGUGGGGAGCAAACAGGAUUAGAUACCCCGGUAGUCCCUGUCUCUUAUAC